CCCGGAAGGUUGUAGUUGGUUAUCACGUGAGCUUAACACGCUCAAGGUCCUCAGUUCGAUCCUGGUUUCGAUC
rnacentral:tRNA from 2 species